rnacentral:rRNA from 1 species
UGGUGGCGACCGGCGCACGGGUGCGUAACGCGUAUGCAACCUACCUUUAACAGGGGGAUAACACUGAGAAAUUGGUACUAAUACCCCAUAAUAUCAUAGAAGGCAUCUUUUAUGGUUGAAAAUUCCGAUGGUUAGAGAUGGGCAUGCGUUGUAUUAGCUAGUUGGUGGGGUAACGGCUCACCAAGGCGACGAUACAUAGGGGGACUGAGAGGUUAACCCCCCACACUGGUACUGAGACACGGUCCAA